rnacentral:rRNA from 1 species
CAAAACAAGGUAUCCCUGAGAGCCGAGAUAGACCAUCUCGUCGAUAGGCCAGAGAUGUACGCACAGCAAUGUGUUCAGUUGACUGGUACUAAUUGCUCGAUAGGCUUGAUUUGAUCCAG